UACGUAGGGGGCAAGCGUUGUCCGGAAUUAUUGGGCGUAAAGCGCGCGCAGGCGGUUUCUUAAGUCUGGGGUUUAAGUUCGGGGCUCAACCCCGUAUCGCCCUGGAAACUGGGAGGCUUCGAGUGCAGGAGAGGAAAGUGGAAUUCCACGUGUAGCGGUGAAAUGCGUAGAGAUGUGGAGGAACACCAGUGGCGAAGGCGACUUUCUGGCCUGUAACUGACGCUGAGGCGCGAAAGCGUGGGGAGCAAACAGG
rnacentral:rRNA from 1 species